rnacentral:rRNA from 1 species
GACAGAGGGUGCGAACGUUGUUCGGAAUUACUGGGCGUAAAGCGCAUGUAGGCGGCAGCGCAAGUCGGGCGUGAAAUCCCACGGCUCAACCGUGGAAGUGCACUCGAAACUGCGCAGCUAGAGUCCUGGAGAGGAAGGUGGAAUGCUUGGUGUAGAGGUGAAAUUCGUAGAUAUCAAGGAGGAGCACCAGUGGCGAAGGCGGCUCACUGGACCGGUACUGACGCUGAUGCGCGAAAGCGUGGGGAGCAAACGGG